rnacentral:rRNA from 1 species
GGGGGGGGGGGGGGGGGGGCGGGGGGGGGGGAGGGGGGGGGGGGGGGGCGGGGGGGUGGGGGGGGCGCGGGGGGGGAAGGGGGGGGUGGCAGGUGGGUCACCUGCCCUUGGCUUUGGGGUCCCUUCAGGAAACUGGGGCUAGUACCGGCUAGGAGCUCCUGCUGCAUGGGUGGGGUUGGCAAGUUUCGGCGGUUGGGGAUGGACUCGUGGCUUAUCCGCUUGUUGGUGGGGUAGUGGCUUACCCAGGCUUUGACGGGUAGCCGGCCUGAGAGGGUGACCGGCCACAUUGGGAAUGAGAUACGGCCCAGACUCAUACGGGAGGCAGCAGUGGGGAAUAUUGCACAAUGGGCGGAAGCCUGAUGCAGCAACGCCGCGUGCGGGAUGACGGCCUUCGGGUUGUAAACCGCUUUCGCCUGUGACGAAGCGUGAGUGACGGUAAUGGGUAAAGAAGCACCGGCUAACUACGUG